GACCACAAGAGCCCGAAAUAAGAUGGCCUCUAAACUUGGAUCUGCAGCCCUGCGCCAAGUGUGUUUCUUCUUUUAUCUCUGUCGAUGCUGGCCAAAAGCCUGGGUGAGCUUGCUUGCCCUCGAGCUCGGUGCAAGACUACUUCUCUGAAGCCCCCACCCCACCCCCCCAUCUACCAUGCAGUUUUAUACAGCCCUCCCUCCAUCGCUGAUCACCCAGCUGUCUCGGACCCUAACUCAAAAAGGAUUUUGGAAGGUGGAGACAGGUUAUACCGGCGUAGCUGAUCUUUGGGAUCUUGUAAUGAAACUCUCCGGCAUGCCAACUGUUGAGUCAAACACCUGACGAUCCUGAAAUGGGGCAAGUGGAAAGCCUUACUCAGCAACAAAUCCCAGUGUAGUGUUUCACAGAAGAGGAAAUGAAAACCCAAGAAGACGAUACGCCUUUUUGAGAGUGGCAAAGCGGCCCUCUGGCAGAGCCAGGGUGUGAACCCAGCCUGGCCUUGGCGUUCACGUUCACCCGAUCAUAUUUGUAUCUCCCAGAGAUGAACAUUUUCAGAGUCCAGUGAAUCUAAAACGACCUGUCCAGGUGGGGAGAAACAUCGCGAAAAGCCGCAUGAUGUAUUUGGUUCUCUCAGAUCUUCACUUUCCUGGCCAAGUCCAUGUCUCAACAGUCUCUGGGGUGAAUCAUGGAAAAAGGACAUUCCCACUGGUAAUCUUGCCUGAGAGAAAUUAAGUUUCACUAAAAGAUUCAACUCAUGGUUGGAAACACUGCCAGCACACCAGAAAAGCAGCUUCACUGCAGAGACCAAGGCAAGUUGAACAAUGCACAAAUGCUUAAAUUCUAUAAUCAUGGGGUGUCGCCAGAACGCAUACUUAGCAUUAACAAGAAAGAACAAAGGAAUAGGUUCUGGGACCAGUGAAAUCAACGCAUUAAGAAGCAGCCUCACCUCUGGGAGGGUCUGUAUAUACAGUGUGAACCAAGCCUUGGCAGCUCUCCCCAUCCAAAGAGCUACAAAAAUCCAGCUGACGGCAUGAAGACACAUUCUAAAGAAGUACUGAGUUAGGAAAUUAAAAAAGAAAAAAAAAAAAGAAAGAAAGAAAAAAGAAGGACUGCGACUGCAUGAAGAUAAAUGUGAUGUAAGUGAAAGCAAAAAAGAAAAUGGAUACCACAGACAAUGGGGGAAAGGAUGUGGAUGGUGACAGGCUACAGUGGUGCCUGUUGAGUGGGUGACCCACACCAUCACCGCUUGUCCCAGUAGCUGGCCUUGAGUCCUGACCCGGAGCAAAACCACAGAAGCAUUCGUCCAUCCAGAGGUGGGGACUAGGAAGGAACACCUGAAGGGUUAAGGUUGGACUCUGUCAUGGAAAACAACUUUAGGUUUUCUGCUGCUAGUAACAUGACCCCGUUUACAACCCAGGAAAGGUUAUGGGUGCCCAGACCAAGAGGCGCUUGCAAAUCCUUCAAAAACUCUAGAGAGAUGACUCUGGUUAAUAUCUGCAUCAGAGAAGAAAAGCCAGACAUCUCUCCCUACCCACAUCUAGAAGCAGGAGAGGAAUACAAGUUUUCCAAGGAGCCUGAAAUAUGUGAGGUAGGGGGUGGGGCAGAGGGGACUCUUAGAACUGUAGAUCCAUGAAAGCUAUGAGAAGCCUUCUGAAAGGGAAUGUAGGCUCCACGGCAGUUCAAGAAGUAAUGACAGAGAGAGGUGUUAAAAGAAACAGGAGACUCAGUUGGUAGAAUGCUUGCCUAGUAUGCAUGAUACCCUGGGUUUGAACCCCAGCCCUUCACAACAGGGCAGAUUGAUGCAUAUCUAUAAUCCCAAUACUUGGGUGGUAGAGUUGGAGGGUUCACAAGUUCAAAGGCAUCUUUGGCUACAUACCUAUAAUCCUAGCAUUCGGGAGUCUGUGGCAGGAGGAUUUGGGUCUUAGGGCCAGCUGGGACUACAAAAAAAAAAAUUAUUAAAAACAGCAAGUCCUUAAUUUGACAUGCAAAGCCCUCCAUGCCAGGAUAAAGGCAACAAGGCUCACUGGGCGAAAUGUGUGCUUGUCAAGGCUGACAAUCUGUGUUAAAUUCCUGGAACCCAUGCGAAGGUUGAAGUAGAGAGCCCACCCCACAGAGUUAUCCUCUGACUUCUACAUGUAUGGCAGGGCAUUGCAUGGCAUGCACCCACUCAUACACAUACAAAAAAGUUUUUAAAUGCCCUUUUAAAAAGUCUCCAGGACUGGAGAUAUGGAUUAGCAGUUAAGAGUGUGUACUGUUGUUCUUCCAAUGGACCCAGGUUUAAAUCCUAGCACCCACAUCAGGCAACUUACAACUAUCUGUGACUUCAGCUCAUCUGGCCUCUGUGGGUACCACACUAGUGGGCACAUACAACUUAACAAACAAAAGAAAGACUUUUCAAAA
rnacentral:tRNA from 1 species